GACGAACCGUGCAAACGUUAUUCGGAAUCACUGGGCUUAAAGGGCGCGUAGGCGGGCCGCCAGGUCCGGGGUGAAAGCCUCCAGCUCAACUGGAGAAGUGCCUUGGAUACCGGCGGCCUCGAGGGAGGUAGGGGCGUGCGGAACUUCGGGUGGAGCGGUGAAAUGCGCAGAUAUCAGGAGGAACACCGAUGGCGAAGGCAGGUCUCUGGGCCACUACUGACGCUGAGAAGCGAAAGCAUGGGGAGCGAACAGG
rnacentral:rRNA from 1 species